GGCCUGAUGGUUUAGCGGUAUAAUUCUCGCUUAGGGCUCACCCUUAGUUGUCUGCGAGAGGUCCCGGGUUCGAGUCCCGGUUAGGCCC